rnacentral:rRNA from 1 species
UAUAGGUUUGGUCCCAGCCUUCCUGUUAACUUUCAAUAGACUUAUACAUGCAAGCAUCCACGCCCCGGUGAGUAACGCCCUUCGAAUCACACAGGACUAAAAGGAGCAGGUAUCAAGCACACACUCUUGUAGCUCACAACGCCUUGCUUAACCACACCCCCACGGGAGACAGCAGUAACAAAAAUUAAGCCAUAAACGAAAGUUUGACUAAGCCAUAUUGACUAGGGUUGGUAAAUCUCGUGCCAGCCACCGCGGUCAUACGAUUGACCCAAGCUAACAGGAGUACGGCGUAAAGCGUGUUAAAGCAUCAUACUAAAUAGAGUUAAAUUUUAAUUAAACUGUAAAAAGCCAUAAUUAUAACAAAAAUAAAUGACGAAAGUAACCCUACAAUAGCUGAUACACCAUAGCUAAGACCCAAACUGGGAUUAGAUACCCCACUAUACUUAGCCCUAAACACAAAUAAUUAU